GUGGGGAAUAUUGGACAAUGGGGGGAACCCUGAUCCAGCCAUGCCGCGUGUGUGAAGAAGGCCUUUUGGUUGUAAAGCACUUUAAGUGGGGAGGAGGCUUACCUGGUUAAUACCUGGGCUAAGUGGACGUUACCCACAGAAUAAGCACCGGCUAACUCUGUGCCAGCAGCCGCGGUAAUACAGAGGGUGCGAGCGUUAAUCGGAUUUACUGGGCGUAAAGCGCGCGUAGGUGGUUAAUUAAGUCAAAUGUGAAAUCCCCGAGCUUAACUUGGGAAUUGCAUUCGAUACUGGUUAGCUAGAGUAUGGGAGAGGAUGGUAGAAUUCCAGGUGUAGCGGUGAAAUGCGUAGAGAUCUGGAGGAAUACCGAUGGCGAAGGCAGCCAUCUGGCCUAAUACUGACACUGAGGUGCGAAAGCAUGGGAGCAAACAGGAUUAGAUACCCCAGUAGUCC
rnacentral:rRNA from 1 species